CCUACGGGUGGCAGCAGUGGGGAAUAUUGCACAAUGGGCGAAACCCUGAUGCAGCAACGCCGCGUGAGUGAGGAAGUAUUUCGGUAUGUAAAACUCCAUCAGCAGGGAAGAGAAAAGAAGGUACCUGAAAAAGAAGCCCCGGCUAACUACGUGCCAGCAGCCGCGGUAAUACGCAGGGGGCAAGCGUUAUCCGGAUUUACUGGGUGUAAAGGGAGGGUAGGCGGAAAGGUAAGUCAGAAGGGAAAACCCAAGGCUCAACCAUGGGGCUGCUGUUGAAACUGUCAACCUAGAGUACGGGAGAGGUAAGAGGAAUGCCUAGUGUAGCGGUGAAAUGCGUAGAUAUUAGGAGGAACACCAGUGGCGAAGGCGUCUUACUGGACCGGAACUGACGUUGAGGCUCGAAAGCGUGGGGAGCGAACAGGAUUAGAUACCCUGGUAGUC
rnacentral:rRNA from 1 species